AGCAGCCGCGGUAAAUUCCAGCUCCAAUAGCGUAUAUUAAAGUUGUUGCAGUUAAAAAGCUCGUAGUUGAAAUUCGAAAUUUGUCCUAUGGUCGGGCUUUACGGUCCGUACAGUAGUGGCGAAUUUCUACCUUCUGAAGAACCUUCAUGUCAUUAAUUUGGUGUGUUGGGAAAUCAGGACUGUUACUUUGAAAAAAUUAGAGUGCUCAAAGCAGGCGCCUGCCUGAAUAGUGGUGCAUGGAAUAAUGGAAUAGGACCUCGGUUCUAUUUUGUUGGUUUCUAGGAUCACCGUAAUGAUUAAUAGGGAUAGUUGGGGGCAUUAGUAUUCAAUUGUCAGAGGUGAAAUUCUUGGAUUUAUUGAAGACUAACUUCUGCGAAAGCAUUUGCCAAGGAUGUUUUCA
rnacentral:rRNA from 1 species